AUUUUCCAUUAGCGGAGGAAAAGAAACCAACAGGGAUUACCUCAGUAACGGCGAGUGAAGCGGUAACAGCUCAAAUUUGAAAGCUAGCUCUUUUAGGGUUCGCAUUGUAAUUUGUAGAAGAUGCUUCGGGUGUGGCCCCGGUCUAAGUUCCUUGGAACAGGACGUCAUAGAGGGUGAGAAUCCCGUAUGUGACUGGGUGCUUUCGCUCAUGUGAAGCUCUUUCGACGAGUCGAGUUGUUUGGGAAUGCAGCUCAAAAUGGGUGGUAAAUUUCAUCUAAAGCUAAAUAUUGGCCAGAGACCGAUAGCGCACAAGUAGAGUGAUCGAAAGAUGAAAAGCACUUUGGAAAGAGAGUUAAACAGUACGUGAAAUUGUUGAAAGGGAAGCGCUUGCAACCAGACUUGCGCGCUGAUGAUCAUCCGGGCUUUUGCCCGGUGCACUCGUCUGCGCUCAGGCCAGCAUCGGUUUCGGUGGUGGGAUAAAGGCCUUGGGAAUGUAGCUCCUCUCGGGGAGUGUUAUAGCCCUCGGUGCAAUGCCGCCUACCGGGACCGAGGACCGCGCUCGGCUAGGAUGACAG
rnacentral:rRNA from 1 species